ACGUGGGGUAAAUCUUCCCCUUUCCGGCCGGGGGGGAGUAAACCUUUCCCGAAAAGGAGGGCUAAUACCGCAUAAGACCACGGCUCAAAGGGGCUGAGGUUAAAGCAGGCCUCUAUAUAUAAGCUUGCACCAAAGGAUGAGCCCGCGGCCCAUCAGCUAGUUGGUAGGGUAACGGCUUACCAAGGCUAAGACGGGUAGCUGGUCUGAGAGGAUGAUCAGCCACACUGGAACUGAGACACGGUCCAG
rnacentral:rRNA from 1 species